UUCAGACUUGUGCUCUUUCGUCUCCCCAUUUGAUGUUGGCAGGAUCUCGCUCCUGGAAGAUGGAGAUGGGCUUUCCAUUGAUGACAGGUUUCCCGUUCUUAGCGCUGACUGUGCCUUGAAUUUGCUAUGGGUGGAAUCAUAGUGGAACGUGUAGACCUUCUCCGUUGUGUCUCGGGGGUGCACCGCUCACAGCACAGGAAGUGGCCAUGUGUCAAACAGGAGGGAGCAGAGAGCCAGAAUUUUUACAUCUUAAAAUGUCAUUUCAGGAAUCCUUGAAAGAAACAAGUUGGUUCAGUACAUAUCUUCCUCAGCUUACCGUGGGCUUAUGUCCUGAUAAGCCUGUCACAAGGUGAAAAUACUGUAAUUUGAAAAUGCAUUUAAUACACCUAACUUACUGAACACUGUGGCUUAGCCUGGCCUACCUUAAAUGUGCUCGCAAUGUUCAUUAUAUUAGCCUACGGUUGGGCAGAAUCACGAAACACAAAACCUAUUUUAUAAUAAAGCGUUGACUAGUCUGUGUAGUGUAUUGGAGACUGUGUUGAAAGUGACACGUGGAGCAGUCGUCUGGGUACAGAUGGUACUUGCCUUAUUGGCGAUUUACCCUCAUCCUGUGGCUCCUGGGCGCUGCCUUUCACUGCCGUUCACCACGAGAAAGCAUAGGACUGCAUGUUGCUUGCUAGCUUGAGAAAAGACGCGAAUUCAAAACUUGACGUAUGGUUUUUAUGGACCGCGUAUUGCUUUUGCACCGUUGUAAAGUUGAAAAUCUUAAGUCGAGGCCGUGUAAGUCAGGGACCGUCUGUAUUUGAAUAUCUGUGUCUGUUUUACUUUAGUAAGACUGACUUUCGUGGCUUCU